GAUAUCGACGAUCUGGCUUAUCACGUGUGAAAAUAGAAAUUUCCAGCAAACACAGUUGAGACUAGAUAAUAACCGGCGUUUUGUUGUUUCUGGAAGAAAGCUUACACCUCUUCUUUGAAGUGUGCAUUGCAUACAUCUACCGAACAUAAUAUGGAUGCAACACCGGAAAAAAUAGACAUUACGCCUUCGAAAGAUGGCGGAGUACUGAAAGAAAUUUUACGAGAAGGAACUGGUGAAGAUAAGCCUUUAGCCGGCGAUAAAGUGCUCGUACAUUAUGUCGGCACACUUGAAGACGGAUCAGAAUUCGACUCCAGUAGAAGAAGAGGAGACAAAUUUGAAUUUGACUUGGGAAAAGGCAGCGUCAUCAAGUCAUGGGACCUUGGUGUAGCCACUAUGAAGAAGGGAGAAGUCUGUCGACUCACAUGUCGCAGUGACUACGCCUAUGGGGAGAAUGGCUCCCCGCCUAAAAUACCUGCUAAUGCUACGCUUAUAUUUGAAGUAGAACUCUUUGAAUGGAAAGGAGAAGAUAUCUCUGAGAAGAAAGAUGAUUCUGUUAUCCGACACAUUGUACAGGCUGGAGAAGGGUACCAAUCACCGAACGACGGAGCCAGCGUCAAAGUACACUAUGUAGGUCGAUGUGGCAUGACAGUAUUUGACGACCAGCAGGUGGAGUUUAUCCUUGGAGAGGGGGAGGAGGCUGGAGUUAUUGAUGCUCUUGAGGUGGCAAUCAAAAAAAUGAAAAAUAAGGAAAAGUGUCGACUGGAAAUUCAACCGUCAAUGGCCUAUGGAGACGCAGGAAACUCAAAGUUUAACAUUCCACCUAACACUCCCCUUCAGUUUGAUGUUGAAAUGCUAUCAUUUGAAAAGGCUAAAGAAUCUUGGGAGAUGGAUGCUAGUGAGAAGCUGGAACAGGCAGAGAUUAAGAAGUCCAAGGGAACCUCUUACUUCAAGGCUGAGAAGUACAAACUGGCUGUCAAGUUUUACACUGCUGUUGUGUCGCUGUUAGAAAAUGCCACGGGUAUGGACUCGGAGGAAGACUCCAAACGAAAGUCCUCCCUCCUACUCGCCGCCUUUCUUAAUCUGGCUAUGUGUUAUCUCAAGAUGGGGGACUCCCACGAAGCACAUGGUCAGUGUGACAAGGCCCUGGAACAGGACAGCAACAAUGUCAAGGCACUAUUCAGACGUGGACAGGCCCUACAAAACAAAGGCGAUUAUGAUCUGGCUAAAACAGAUUUUGAACAAGUUGUCAAGCUUGACCCUGAGAACAAAGCAGCUAAGAACCAAGUCACAAAGUGUAUACAGAAGAUCAAGGAGUUUAAGGACAAAGAGAAAAAAAUCUACGCUGGAAUGUUCCAGAAAUUCGCAGAGGCAGACAGCAAAAAGCCCCAGCACCAGUAUGAGGAUGGCCUUGCUAGUCUGGGCGAGUGGAAUAAUGAUAUGGCUGCUGGUAUGAUGUCCCUGGAACAGGAGAUGGCUGCCUUUGGUGAAACCAUGCCUGUCCGUGGUACAAACAACCAUGAAACUCCGAAUGGUAGCCACUGAAAACUGGCAAUCCAGCGCCUAAGGGUAGUUACAAUUAGCCUUCAGCAAACCACAGAAGGAUAUAGAAGAGGAUAAGGGACAGUCAGAAGACCUUCAGAAUUCUGACAACAAAUCCACUGUGGAGGAGGAGAAUAUGGAUGCAGGAGAAGAAAGCCAGCCAGUAGAAGCGAGCUGAGGAACAACAUUACACUCAGUGUAACACAAUCAGUGUAGACUUUACACUAUCGGUGUAAUACUAAAUGUUUCAGUGUAAACCACAGGGACUUUGGUACGAAUUCCUAACCCGACAGUUAGUAUAGAAAUCUGGGUCCAAAUAAAUAAUGACCACCACUGAUGGCGCCAUGUUAACUUACCAAUACAAACUGUGGGGAUGGGAAUUUUUCUCUGGUGUAAUACAAUAAGCAUAUCUCUACGUAGUUUUUGUACCGUAUUUGUUUUAGUGAAUUUUUUUUUUUUUUCCUGAGUAGGUAAAGAUUAGAUUACAUUUGUAAUUAUGUACCAGUCUCUGUGUAUUACACAAAUUCCAUGAACUGACUACACUAUGUUACACUGACGAACAUUCUGAAAUGUGUAUGGACCAAACACAGGUCACAAAAUGCUACAGUGUAUAUGUUUAUGUGACUCUACUGUAAGUGAAGUAUAUAGUAGUGUGAAUGUUAGGUGUGAGCUAACUGUUGAAGUCUAACGUACAAAGAGCUGCUACAACAGCAAAAUUGCAUAAUUUUGAUUGUUCAGUAUAGUGUUUAAUUGUCUUAUAACAAAAGAAUCAUCAUCAUUAUCAUUUAUCACUAUUCUCCAUCACAGCUGAUGUGUUUAGAGUGGCUUUGAACAAUUACUUUAUGGGGUAGGUUCAGGGAGUACUUCGUGGAUUAAAACCCAACAAAUAUAUUUAAGUCCGGUAGAUGCUCAAUAACUUAAUGUUUUACUAUGGAGAACAAGGUUAAGUGCUAUGUACGAUGUGUGGCCAUGUCUAUUGCAAGCCUAAAUGAUUUUAAUAUCAAAUUUUCAAGGACCACAAGAUUUGUUGUAAAAUGUGCAAAUUCAGUCAAGCAUAUUAAAAAUGUAUUAAAUCUC